AUUGAACGCUGGCGGCAAGCCUAACACAUGCAAGUCGAACGAGUGGCGGACGGGUGAGUAAUGUCUGGGAAACUGCCUGAUGGAGGGGGAUAACUACUGGAAACGGUAGCUAAAACCGCAUACCAUCGGAUGUGCCCAGAUGGGAGCAGCUAGGAGGUGGGGUAAAUGCUCACCUAGGCGACGAUCCCUAGCUGGUCUGAGAGGAUGACCAGCCAAACGGGAACUGAGACACGGUCAAGAUUCCAACGGGAGGCAGCAGUGAGGAAUAUGGCACAAUGGGCGAAAGCCUGAUGCAGCCAUGCCGCGUGUAUGAAGAAGGCCUUCGGGUUGUAAAGUACUUUCAGCGGGGAGGAGUUACCCGCAGAAGAAGCACCGGCUAACUCCGUGCCAGCCGCCGCGGUAAUAC
rnacentral:rRNA from 1 species